UGGGGAAUAUUGCGCAAUGGGGGAAACCCUGACGCAGCAACGCCGCGUGAAGGAUGAAGGUCUUCGGAUUGUAAACUUCUUUGAUUGGGGAAGAUAAUGACGGUACCCAAAAAACAAGCCACGGCUAACUACGUGCCAAGCAGCCGCGGUAAUACGUAGGUGGCGAGCGUUGUCCGGAAUUACUGGGUGUAAAGGGCGUGUAGGACGGGAAGGUAAGUCAGAUAGUGAAAUACCGGGGCUCAACUCCGGGGCUGCAUUUGAAACUAUCUUUCUUGAGUGCAGGAGAGGAAAGUGGAAUUCCUAGUGUAGCGGUGAAAUGCGUAGAUAUUAGGAGGAACACCAGUGGCGAAGGCGACUUUCUGGACUGUAACUGACGCUGAGGCGCGAAAGCGUGGGGAGCGAACAGGAUUAGAUACCCUGGUAGUCCACGCCGUAAACGAUGGAUACUAGGUGUUGGGGGUAUCGACCCCCCCAGUGCCGCAGCUAACGCAAUAAGUAUCCCACCAGGGGA
rnacentral:rRNA from 1 species